rnacentral:rRNA from 1 species
UUAUUAAUUUAGGUCUGGCCUGCCCACUGAAAUUUAAAUGGCCGCAGUAUUUUGACUGUGCAAAGGUAGCAUAAUCAUUAGUUUUUUAAUUAAAAGCUUGUAUGAAGGGUUGGACGAAGUAAAAUCUGUCUCUAUUUAAUUUAUAUUAAAAUUUAAUUUUUAAGUUAAAAAGCUUAAAUAUUAUUAAAAGACGAGAAGACCCUAUAGAUCUUUAUAUUUUAUUUAUUGAUUUUAAUAUAGAAAUUUUUAUUUUUUAAUAAUAAAAAUAUUUUAUUGGGGUAAUAAAAAGAUUUAUAAAAUUCUUUUUAAAAAUUUACAUUAAUUUAUGAUUGUAUGAUCCAAUUUUUUUGAUUAUAAGAUUAAGUUACCUUAGGGAUAACAGCGUAAUUUUUUUAAAGAGUUCAUAUCGAUAAAAAAGUUUGCGACCUCGAUGUUGGAUUAAAAAUUAUCCUGGGUGCAGAAGUUUGGGAUUUUGGUCUGUUCGACCAUUAAAUUUUU